UGGGGAAUAUUGGGCAAUGGGCGAAAGCCUGACCCAGCAACGCCGCGUGAAGGAAGAAGGCUUUCGGGUUGUAAACUUCUUUUGUCAGGGACGAAAAAAAUGACGGUACCUGACGAAUAAGCCACGGCUAACUACGUGCCAGCAGCCGCGGUAAUACGUAGGUGGCAAGCGUUAUCCGGAUUUACUGGGUGUAAAGGGCGUGUAGGCGGGAAAGCAAGUCAGAUGUGAAAACUAUGGGCUCAACCCAUAGCCUGCAUUUGAAACUGUUUUUCUUGAGUACUGGAGAGGCAGAUGGAAUUCCUAGUGUAGCGGUGAAAUGCGUAGAUAUUAGGAGGAACACCAGUGGCGAAGGCGAUCUGCUGGACAGCAACUGACGCUGAGGCGCGAAAGCGUGGGGAGCAAACAGG
rnacentral:rRNA from 2 species